rnacentral:rRNA from 1 species
AUUGAACGCUGGCGGCAUGCCUUACACAUGCAAGUCGAACGGCAGCACGGGAGCAAUCCUGGUGGCGAGUGGCGAACGGGUGAGUAAUAUAUCGGAACGUGCCCAGUCGUGGGGGAUAACGUAGCGAAAGCUACGCUAAUACCGCAUACGAUCUAUGGUUGAAAGGGGGGGAUGGCAAGACCUCGCCCGCUUGGAGCGGAUGAUAUCAGAUUAGGUAGUUGGUGGGGUAAAGGCCCACCAAGCCUGCGAUCUGUUGCUGGUCUGAGGGGACGACCAGCCACACUGGGAUUGAGACACAGCCCAGACUCCUACGGGAGGCAGCAAUGGGGAAUUUUGGACAAUGGGCGCAAGCCUGAUCCAGCAAUGCCGCGUGCAGGACGAAGGCCUUCGGGUUGUAAACUGCUUUUGUACGGAGCGAAAGGGCUCUCUCUAAUACAGGGGGCACAUGACGGUACCGUAAGAAUAAGCACCGGCUAACUACGUGCCAGCCGCCGCAGUAAUAC